CGGUGAGCCGUGCCACGGAAUCGGGUGCUCCAAGUGGGCCAUUUUUGGUAAGCAGAACUGGCGAUGCGGGAUGAACCGGAAGCCGGGUUACGGUGCCCAACUGCGGUCUAACCUAGAACCCACAAAGGGUGUUGGUCGAUUAAGACAGCAGGACGGUGGUCAUGGAAGUCGAAAUCCGCUAAGGAGUGUGUAACAACUCACCUGCCGAAUCAACUAG
rfam:Hordeum vulgare subsp. vulgare, WGS project CAJW01000000 data, contig: morex_contig_1368347